GUCACCCCUUUCAUACUUGUGUUCACUUGUGUUAAUUUUAUUUUGUUGCAAAUGUAUUUAUUGAUACAAUAUUUAUCAAUACAUACAUAGACAAAAGGGGUGUUUCACAUUGUAUAGAACACUAUUAAUUAUUAAUCAAGAAUUCAAGACUAUAAAAGUUUUGUACAAUUUUAAUUUAAAUUAAUUAAUUAACUAAAAUUUACUCCUAAUUUUGUUAUUAUCAUUUAUCAUUAUAAAAAUUAAUAAUGAAUAGUGAAAAUUGUGAUGAAAUUUCAGUGAAAAAAAAAUUAACAAAUUCACAAAAAACAAAACAUAUUAAUUGUAAAUUAAAAAAUGAUACAUUAAAUCUUGAACAGACAUUAAAAACAUUAGAUGGACCAAUUGGGCAAGAUCAAACAUGGGCAGUAUGUCAUCAAACAGCAAAAUGUUUAUCAAAACUUCCAUCAAAUAAUCUUCAAGAACUUACAAAUCUCAAUCAAAUAAUAUUACACAAAGAAGGACAUGUAUCUCUUGAUCUUUUUACAGAUUCAACAACUACUUAUUCAUCUGAAAAAAAAGUUGUUUUUUCAUUGGGAUUAUUGUUAUACAAAGCACUAGAUUUUCGUUUAGAUUUAAAUCAAGAAAGAUGUUUAUCUCCUGGUUUAAAAAAUUUAAUAUAUUCAAUGACAAAUUGUGAUGAUGAACAUGAACCAGAAGAACGACUUCAAGACACUGAUGAUGAAGGUAUAGAUUUAGAAACUGAAGGAGAUGAAAAUAUUGUUCAUGAUAAUUACACACUUAAAUAUAUAAUUAAGAUUUGUAAUAAAAGAAUUCAAGCAACUGAUGAAUAUGCUGAUAUACAUUAUCGUUCUGUUAUUCAAGCAUUUGUUAAUGAAGCACUUGAGCUAACUGAAUUUUUAAAUAAAGUUGCAGCUGAACGUUUUCAAAAAAAUUUAAAAAAACUACAAAAUGAUACAACAAAUAGUAGAAUUGGAGUUUCAUCAACUGAACAUCUUGAUAUUCUCAAUAUUGAUGAUUGGGCUAGAUUUUGGGUUCAAGUUAUUGGAGAAUUACAUCAUGGAAUAAAAUUGAAAAAAGUUGAAGCAAAUUUAUUAAAACGUAGUUUAAGUAAAAACAAAGAUGACAAAUUUGAAUUAACACCAUAUGAAAUUCUUAUGAAUGACAUUAGAGAAAGAAAAUAUCAUCUUAGAAAAACUCCAAAGCAAUCACAUGGUGUUCACAAAGAUGCACAUGACAGAAUUUUAGAAUUUAUUAGGAGUCGACCACCUUUAAAAAAGGCAUCUGAGAGAAAAUUAGCUCCAAAACAAUCACAGCUGACAAUUAGAGAAUUAUUAAUGGAAAGCAUAAGAAAACAUAAGUCAAAUUCGGAUGGAAAACAAAAAGCAGUAGGUGGUGAAGCAAGAAGAAUUGUUCUUGGUGAAGUACCACCAGCCCAAGUUGAACAUAUACAAGAACCAGCUCAAGAUGUUGCAGCUCAAUGGCAUCAGCAAGAAGGUCAAGAGUCUCAUCCUAUUCCUCAACCACGACCACGUACUAAAUCAUCAUUGACAACGAACAAAGAUUUUAAAAUCUAUAAUAAUACUAGUUAUCAUGAAGAUUCAGAGGCUGAGAUAAAUAAUCAAAAAAAAAAAAUAAUUCCUGUAGAUUUUCGAUUAAAAUUUGGUGGUGAUGAUGAUAUAGAUGACGAUGAUCUUGAUGAUGAAUAUACAGUUACAAGAUUUGAAGAUGAAGAUGAGCCUCAAAUGAGUACAAAAAAAUCAACUAAAUUACAUUGUUUACAUGAUGAAAAUGAGCAUAAUAUUUGUGUUGAUGAUGAUUAUGAUGAUGAUGAUAAAAGUUCAGCAAAUCCAUGGAAAAAAACUGGUGGUUUACGUUUAACAAGAAAUGAAUAUCAUAGAUUUUGUGAUGCACAACUUGAAUCAUAUGAUUUAGCAACUCAAUGUCCAUCAAGACGUGCAGCAAUUCGUAAACAUUCAAAUUCAGGUAAUAUAGCAUCAUUUAUACCAUUUAAAGAGACACCACCGAUACCAAGAACAAGAUUACAAAAUCGUCAACGUACAGUUAUUGGCUCAGAGCAUAGUAUGAAAAUUAAUUUUUCUUCUUCAAAUAUAAAAAAUAAAAUAAUAACAAAAGAUAAUCAAAUUAAUUGUCAAACAACAACAACAACAGCAACAACAACAUCAAAUGAUAAUUUAAAUGAUAAAAAAGAAACAACAAAUCAAAGACCAUCACUUGGUGAUAUGUUUUUAGAUGAAAGAUUAUCAUUGACACUUGAAGAAAUUGUACAUAUACGUAGUGUUUUAACAAAAGCUGAAUUAGAAUCAUUACCAGUUGAAGGUAGAGUAAAAGAAGAUGUUGAAAAACGUCGUGUAUGUUUUUUAUGUUUAAAAACACGUUUUGGAUUUUGGGGACCAUGGGGUCAACGUUGUAGAUUAUGUGAAAGAACUGUUUGUGUUAAAUGUUAUUCAAAAAUGCGAAUUCCAACUGAACAAUUUGCUCAUGUACCUGUUGUAUUAUUAUCACCAGCAUUAUUAUCACCAUCAGAAAAUGAUACAAAUGUUAAAAAUACAUGGUCAAGAAAUGGUGUUGGUGGUGGUAGUGUUGGUUCAGCACCAGCAUCACCAGCAUACAGAAGACGUGAACAUGGUUUAAAUAAUUCAACUCCUUCAUCAUCACCAAAUCAUUGUACACCAUCUGGUAGUCUUACAACUGGUACAACUCCAAUUUAUCAUGAACAAAAAGAUGAUACAUAUUUUGAUAAAAAUAAAAUAUAUUCUAAAAUUAAUAAAAGUCCAAAUCGUAUGACAUCAAGUGUUAUUGGUAAUCUUAGUUCUGGUUGUAAUGAACAACGUGUUUCAUCUGAACAUAUACGUGGUGUAUCAAUGGUUGUUUGUUAUGAUUGUCGUAUUAUGGUUAAACAAAUUAUUAAAUCAUCACGUAGUACACGUCAAAUAAUACGAAAUAAUGUUAUUUCAAGACUUACAUUAAAUUUAUCACCAGCAUAUGUUUAAAUGUUCAAUUAAAAAUAACAAAUUAUUAGUUGAAAAAUUUAUUUUAUUUUUUUUCUGAACUGUAUAGAGUUUUUUUCAAUAGAGGGCCCAAUUUUAACAUUUUUAUUUUUCAUUUAAAAAAUCUAUUAAAGCGAGUAAUGAAUAUAUAUUAGCAGUCUUCGUUGAAAAUCUAUUUUACUAUCAUAUUAACUCAAUCAAGAGUAGAAAUGGCCUAAUCAUAAAUUAAUAAAAUUAUUGUACAUAAUAUUUACUGUAAAAUUGACAAAAAAAAAGAAUAUAUUGGUUUGAAAAGUUAUCAAGAAAUAAUAUUGUCGUAAAUGACAAAUAACCGCUGUUAAAUAAACGCAGUAGAGUACAAGCACAAUAAAAUCAAUUAAUCAUUAUUAUUUAUAUAUUUUUUAUUUGAAAAUCUAAAUAAAAAAUAUUAAAUAAAACUUGUAAAUUCAAAAAUACUAAAUGAGAUAGAAAAAGAGACACUUCCUUGACUUUUCGAGUGAUAUCUAGUUUAAAAAAAAAAAAAAAACAUUACUCGAAUAGUAGCACUAUUUAAUUUUACACAUGUAUAUUUUAAACAUGAGCAUUUACUCAAACUGCUAUCACAAAAUUAUAUAACUAAUAAUUUUCAUAGAUUCAUAGAUUAAAUGUUAACUGUUGAAGAUGAUUAUAUUAUUAUUAUAAAAUUAAAUGAAUGGUUGAAAAAAUGGGCUGGAUCCUAUUGUUAUGAAAUACUUAUUGUUGACUGAAAAAAAAAAUGACAAAAAAAAGAAAAAAAAAUAAUUAUAUAGGUAUAUAAAUGAAGCAUCUACAUAGAUCUCAAAUAAAUACUAUUCUAGUUUAUGAAAAUUUAAGAUAUUAAUGAUGAUGUAAUGAAUGACCUUUAGUAUGUGUCAUAAAAAAAAAAAGAAAAUUCCAUUAAUUAAUAAGUUAUCAUGUAUUUGUCUGCAUAAUUUUAAGAAAUUAUUGUUUCAAUUGGUAGCUGUUUAGGCUAAUUAUUUUCUAGUUGAAUGGAAGUAUUUGCCAGUGAUUGGAGAUGAUGAUGGAAUCGAAGCUGCUUGUCGAGUUUACAACGAGUCAUUAGAUACUGAUGAAAAACUUGCUGGUUUAAAUUGUUUUGGAUAGCUUGAAUUAAUUAAAAAUUGCUGAAGAACAUCUACUUUAUACGAAUUUCGUGUUAGAGGUACUUUAUCUAGUAUGGCAGAAUUUGCAGAUGAUUUUAAAUG
rnacentral:misc_RNA from 1 species